UACGGAGGAUGCGAGCGUUAUCCGGAUUUAUUGGGUUUAAAGGGUGCGUAGGCGGAUCGUUAAGUCAGUGGUCAAAUUGAGGGGCUCAACCCCUUCCCGCCAUUGAAACUGGCGAUCUUGAGUGGAAGAGAAGUAUGCGGAAUGCGUGGUGUAGCGGUGAAAUGCAUAGAUAUCACGCAGAACCCCGAUUGCGAAGGCAGCAUGCCGGCUUCCGACUGACGCUGAAACACGAAAGCGUGGGGAUCAAACAGG
rnacentral:rRNA from 1 species